rnacentral:tRNA from 1 species
GGCCCCGUCGUCUAGCGGCUAGGACACCACGCUUUCAAUGUGGCGACAGGGGUUCGAGUCCCCUCGGGGCCACAA